rnacentral:rRNA from 1 species
UACGGAGGAUGCAAGCGUUAUCCGGAAUUAUUGGGCGUAAAGCGUCCGCAGGUGGUACAUCAAGUCUGCUGUCAAAGACUAGGGCUUAACCCUGGAGCGGCAGUGGAAACUGAUGAACUAGAGUACGGUAGGGGUAGAGGGAAUUCCCAGUGUAGCGGUGAAAUGCGUAGAGAUUGGGAAGAACACCAGUGGCGAAGGCGCUCUACUGGACCUGUACUGACACUCAGGGACGAAAGCUAGGGGAGCGAAAGGG